GAAAAUAUCUUUGGAAAAAUCAAAAUUCUUUAGAAAAGAAAUAGAAUUUUUAGGAUACAUAGUAUCAUACAAUAUCAUUAAAACUGAUCCGAAAAAAAUAGAAUCAAACAUGAAAUACCCUCCUCCUAAUAAUUUAAGGGAAUUACGAGGUUUUCUUGGCUUAACAGGCUACUACAGGAAGGACAUAACGGUAUGGUUUCAAAACAUAUGUCAAAAAAAACAGAAAUAUCUCUAGACGAAGAAGCAAUCUCUGCGUUUGAAAACUUAAAAUCACACCCUAACUCAAAAAUGAAAAGAUGGCAUGCUUUCAUAGAAGAAUUUUCCCCUAAAAUAUUUUACAAACCAGGAUCUACCAAUGUCGUCGCUGACGCGUUAUCAAGGGUAAUGAUCAAUCAUAUUUCCAAUUAAAGAAAUCACCUGUCCGAAGAAGAACCGUCCGAUAAUUAAACUAUCCAUUCAGCCGACAGUAGUUAUAAAAGCGUAAUUGAAGAAACACACAAACAAUUGAACCAAUUUAAACAACAAUUACUUGUUUCUAAAAACAACAUAACAAUUCAUGAAAAAUUUGAAGUUUUCAACAAAACAAGACAUAUUAUAGAAUACGACACAGUACACAAUUUAAUAAUCAUACUUAAAGAAUUUCUUCAACCAAACCUGACUACAGGAGUUCAUUGCAGUCUCGAAGAUUUAUUCGAAAUCCAAAACUCAUUAAAACACUUUUAACAACAAAUUUUUAUUUACUAAAAAGUUUGUCCUAGACAUCGAAAACAAAAAUGACCAAGAAAUUAUAAUAGUAGAAACACAUGCUCGUGCUCAUAGAGGUUUGGACGAAAAUCUUCAGCAAAUUCUCAAAUACUAUUAUUGGCCAACAUUAUAUAAAACCCUUAAGCAACACAUACGCUACUGCGAAAUUUGUAAUAAAAAUAAAUAUAACAGAAACCCUAAGCAAAUUCCUAUUCCGGAGAGAGAAGAUGAACAAUUACAUAUUGACAUUUUUUAUGCUCAAAAAUUAACAUUUUUGACAUGCCUAGACGCAUAUUCUAAAUUUUUAGUGAUUAAGGAAAUCAAUGACAAAUCAGAUAUGGCAAACAAAGUGUUGGAACUUAUCCAAACUUUUCCUUUCGCUAAAUCCAUAAUGAUGGACAACGAACCUAAGUUUUCCUCGACACAAUUCAAAUCGUCAAUGUCUCGUUCAGGUAUAGCGAUUUAUCAUGCAGACCCCAGACACAGUUUAAGCAACGGUCAGGUAGAACGAGUUCAUUCAACAAUUAUCGAAAUUUCUCGUUGUAUUCAAGAAGAAUACAAUAUAAUGGAUCAUUCCGAAGUCGUAUACCGAGCAGUUAAAGAGUAUAACAACACAAUUCAAUCGACAACUUAACAAAAACCAUGUGACAUAUUAUUUAACAAAAUAGAACACCCAAAAUUGUCAGAAAAAUUAAAAUCAGCCCAAGCCAAAAUGUUAGAGUAUCAUAACAAAAAGAGGUCACCAAAAAAUUACCAAAAUGCACAUUUUAUGGAUCUUAUAUGUUUUACUGCCGUUUUGCGGUACAGACAUUAUAAUUUAUUCAAAUGAUGACUAUGUCCUACUUGAGGAUACAGAUAAUCUUUUUUUAUACGAAGCAUACGGAGAAGUUUUUCACGUUACUAAUCUAAGUUUUUAUAACGAUAUUUUUGAAAAAAAAUUAAAUUUUUUUAAAAACAAAAACAAUACAAUUGAUAGGAAAGUAACCUUGGAAUUGAAUUUAAUCAAAACACUCCUUUCUGAACUUACACCUCACAAAAUUGCCAAACGUAGUAUCAAUGAACUAGGCACAAUUUUUAAAUGGAUCACAGGAACACCAGACCACGAUGACAUGAUAACUAUUCAAACUAAAAUCAAUGAACUUGUUCAAAACAAUAAUAAGCAAAAUCAAAUCAAUUCUGCAAUUUUCAAAGAAGUCACUAAAAUCACAAAUCUUUUAAGAGAUAUUAAAUUUAAUCAGGAAUUAUUUAUGAAAAAUAUCGACUUAAGUUGUUAUCACUUGACCUACAAAAACUGCUGGAUACUAUCACAUUUUCCAAAGCCAGAAUAUUGAAUCCAAAAAUCUUAAAUAAACAAGACAUGAUAAAUAUAUUUAACCACGAAACACUCAAUAUCACUCUAAUCGAUCUUUUAGACAUUUCCUCUUUUUCGAUCGUUUCAUACCCAGGUUUAAUCAUAGUUUUUAAAAAAUACCCUACAAUUAAUUACAAUUGUAAGUUAUACCACCCUAAAGCCAUAUCCCAAACAGAUGGAAAAUUUUUCGUUAACGGCAAAAUUGCUAAAUGUAAUAACACGUUUUACCUCAUUGAUAACUUUAAAAGAGAAAUUUAUAAUAGUUUUGCCUACAUUAAUUUUGAACCAAACUGUUUUGUAAAUCUCCUUAAUAAAAAAUUUACAAGUUGUAUAAAAUUAUCCGAAAAAAAUAAACCAAUAGAAUUUAUAACAGACGGCGCUAUUUUAGUAUCAGGCACAAACUGUAUUAACGAAACCUGGCUUACAGGCAUUUACCUUGUUACAUUUAAAACCAUAGAAACCAUAAACAAUGUUACCUACACCAAUGUAAGAGAAAAAAUUCUUAAUUAUGUAAAACACAAUAAAUUCACAAACUACUUAGUUAGUUAUCAAGUUACUAAUAAUACUGAACUUCAAUUAGAAAAUACAAAUAUACUAUCACAAA